AGGUAAAGGCUCNACCAAGGGACGAUCCGUAGUUGUUCUGAGAGGACAACCAGCCACACUGGAANUGAGACACGUUCCAGACUCCUACGGGAGGCAGCAGUGGGGAAUUUUGGACAAUGGGCGAAAGCCUGAUCCAGCCAUACCGCGUGAGUGAAGAAGGCCUUCGGGUUGUAAAGCUCUUUCAGCCGGAAAGAAAUUGCACUUNUUAAUACGAAGUGUAGAUGACGGUACCGGAAGAAGAAGCACCGGCUAACUACGUGCCAGCAGCCGCGGUAAUACGUAGGGUGCGAGCGUUAAUCGGAAUUACUGGGCGUAAAGCGUGCGCAGGCGGUUUUUUAAGUCAGAUGUGAAAUCCCCGGGCUCAACCUGGGAACUGCAUUUGAAACUGGAAGACUAGAGUAUAGCAGAGGGAGGUAGAAUUNCCACGUGUAGCAGUGAAAUGCGUAGAUAUGUGGAGGAAUACCAAUGGCGAA
rnacentral:rRNA from 1 species